UUUCUCCCGCUCCGAGGCAGCCCUUUUCAAACCGGGAAGCUCCAGGUCAGUUUCCCUUUCCAAGUUUUACGGCCUGCCAUGUUGUCCAUUCUGCUCAGCUAUUUAAAAAAUGUUGAAUAUCAACAAUGGCUUUCACUGGUGUAUUGUCAACUUUUGUAUGAAGCAAUCUUGGCUGAAUGAGAUGGGUCCCAGAGCAGGGAGGGCUUGGCUGCGGCAUGCACCGCAACACCACUGGCGCCUGCCUGGCUCUCUCUCUCUCUCUCUCUGCUGCAGGCAGGAUCAGGGAGGCAGGAGCAGCCGUCCCUCUAGUCCCUGUCUCAGCCCAGCCGCUGGGGUCUGCAUGGGGCUGGGAAAGCCACCCCCUCGUCAGUCCUCUCUGCGAACCCAUCCUCAUCCCAGGUUCCCCUCCCCCUGCCUCUGGCCCUGUCGUCUGGGAGCCCCUGAAGGUGUGACACCUCACACAGGAAUCGGAGAGCAGGAGCCCCGGGGGCCAGUCAGAGCUGGGAAGCCGUGCCAACCCCAUUGGAGAUGUAUGUUUGAAGAUAAUCGUAGGAAAUCCUCCACCCAACCCAGAGAAACCCUCUCCUGGUCAGCAGCAACCCUGGAUUACCCUACUACCUGACAGGAGAGAAGUGAUCCAUGGGGGUUAUCAGCCUGCAAUCCCCACCCCACUCCAGACUCUGGUGCUUGGGUUGGGAAGAGGGGCCUGCACCCCUGUGAUACAUCACUGUCGCUGUGGGAUUCCACAUCUAUCAAAUAAAGGCCAGCUGAUCCCAGGGGAGCAGUUCCCCUUCCAGGAGCGACAGCAGCAGCUCUCCCACCCUCCUCAUCUCAACUCAACACAGCAUCACAGGCCUGGAAGAACCAGUUCAAUCACCAUCUAGAUCACAAUCACCAUUGACUACGGGUCAUCUUGAAUUGAGGAGGCAUUUCAUUUUUCUAGAAUAAAAUAUAUAUAUAUUUGGUUACUUCUUCCCAUUCCAAAUGAACUAAUGACAGCUUAAUUACUUUAAAUAGUUUUUAUCAUUAUGAUAAUAUCAGUGCCACCAGUAGGUGUAGUAACACCAAUGACAGUAACACCAAUGAUAAAUUGGUAAUUGAGGAUUUUCUUAAAUGGAGGCCACAUAUGCUCAAAUCUAAGGUCAUUAACCCUUUAAAGGUAAUUUACAAAAGUUGUGAUUAAUCAUUUUGCUCACAAUUUAAUUUCCCUUAAUUUAAAUUGGCUUACACCAAUUACACUUUUUACUUAGAGACACCAAAUUAUCAAUGGACUCCUCAAAUGUAUGACAUACUAAAAGGGUGUAAAAAGCUAAUAAUUUUCUUUAAAGACCCGAUAACAGUUUGCCACUGCAGGGAAUGCUCAAGGUCCUUGUAUAUAUUUAUAAUGACUGAUUUUCAAGGUGGUAACACCAAUGACAUAAAACGUAGUGAUACAGAACAUAUUAUAUUUGUAAAAAAUAAAAUUAAAAAAAGGUAUUUUUUAUAGCCUUUGUUUUUAUUGAUCUAUACAAUAUAUUAAAUACUCUGUUUACUUUCUAACAAUACAAAUAAUAUAUAGCUAACUUUAAAUCUCCAAAACAUGUCAUUACAACUCAUCAAGUACUUUAAACAAUGCAUGCACAUACAGUUUUGCAUUAAGAAGGACAACAACUAUUUGUCAUUUUAAAGUGUUUUUCAUGGUCUCAAUGGUGAGGGACACAAAUGCCACUGUAAGUCAAGAAUGACCCCUACAGCACAAGGAUGGGAUAGGGUUGCAGGUAUUUGUCUGUUGGUAUGACUUGUAACUUAUGUAUUCAUGUGUACACACACAUACACACACUCACUAUAGUACUGUUGUGGUUGAUGACAAUAAAUUCAUCAGAAGUG